GUGUAUGUAGAUCAGAUGGUUAGAUCGUCGCUUUGUGGCAGCGGAGAGGUUGGUUCAAGUCCAUCCAUACACC
rnacentral:tRNA from 1 species